rnacentral:lncRNA from 10 species
CUCCAGGGCUGCCAGAGUCUUCAGUGAAUCCAUGAUGCAGGGUCCAGGGAGAGUCCACACGACGGCAGUGGCCUGUGGUGCACAGGAUCACUGAUGGCUCUCUGAAGCUCUCCUGGGGUGGAAGGUUACAGAUGGUUCUCAGACAGCUACUGGAGGGCAAGAGUCCUGUCCUUGAAGUCUGUAUCCUCCGUCGUUAGCACAGCGUGUGGAACGAAGGGAGACUGGUGAAUCCAGGUGAAUACAAAUGAAGGAAGACCUGCUUCACCGGAAGAGCAACACGCAAAGCAUCGACACAUCGGCGACAGUUGGGCAAAGGUAAGAGUAAAGCCAGCAGGUGGAGAAGGAGUCCAGAUAGAAGAAAGCUUUGAACAACUGGGGAGGCAAAAGUCAAGCUACAUUUUUUUCUUAAUAAUGUUGUUAUGUGGUACUGUGCCUGGUACCCCAAGUUAAUCUGAUUAUU